UAUCUGUCAUGGAUAGCCGAGUGGGAGGUUAGCCGCUAAGUCAGUGACCUUGCUGCGGUUUUGGCCAGCGGGUACUGGUGCCCGGUACGAAUCCUGGGGUUGUCGAUUGUACUCGCGCGAGUAAUCCGCGAUCGCUACACGGCAUUAAGCAAUGGAAGUGACCCUUGAGGGAAGCAAUUCUGCAGAGACACUUCCACCCUGGGGUGGCGUCAUCGGAUUACACCGUCCCGUUACAGGGAAUCUGGCUGUUUGGUUGAACAACUACUUUU
rfam:Aspergillus ustus strain 3.3904 ATSC_48, whole genome shotgun sequence.